GUCAGUGCAGGACGACUGAUUGGAUUCAGAUGUUUUUCAAACGGCCCAAUAAGCGCAUGAGGAAACUUAAGCCCCCACUAGCGACUAGUGUCCGACCAGUGGUUUUCAUCUGCUUUAGGAAACCUAGACCUGGAAGUCUGUCCCGAAGUGUCUGAUUUGGGCAUCAGUCAUAGAUAGUGCUAUAGUGUGGUGGGAGGGCUCUUCAGAAAUGCUAGAUGAAACCCCAGUGUGUUGCUGCUGCAACGAAGGCAGGGUGGAGGAUUGCAAUGCUGACUCAGCAUCAUGAUGUCUAUCGGCCAUCAGCGAUGGAUGAUGGCAUCGUCUAUUAACCCAACCCAAGAACUAAGGAUGAUCCUCAAGAUCACUCAAUAACUAAAAUAGUUAAAUCUAUUUUUAAAUGAGCUCUCAACAUUAUUUUUUUUU